ACGGAAUCAAAUUCAGAUACUAUUUCCUUAACUGAUAAUUUAGAUGCUAUUGAGGCAUUCCAUAAUCUAGCACCGUCCAUAUGUAAUUUGAGUGAACGUUUCUUUGCUAUUGAUGAUAAUUCAUUGAUCCAGGAUUGAGAUCAAACGUUCCAUCACUAUUAUUUGGCAAGGGACAAAGAGUUACGCCGGCUAUUUGAGCAGCACCUCCUUGUUCGUGUAACACUACGUGCGAAUCUUCUCCGCAAUAAGUUUCGCAACCUCGAAUGUUACAAUGAUUCAUUACUGAAAGAUAAAAUCGUAAUAAACAAAUGAAAACAGAUUUUCGGAAAUGAACAAGUGAAAAUUGAUGCUCAACUAUUAUUUUACGUCGAUAGACUUCAAAUCGUAAUUAAAAUAAAGUGAUUUGCUUUAAAAGGUUAAUUUUCUUAAUCUUUGAGUCAUCAGAUGAAGUUCUUUGGUUUUAAAACACAUUGGUAAGUAAGAGAAAAAAAAACAACUCCUUUAUAAUUAUUCUAUUCAUCAUUUUUACAAUUUAAUUAAGCAAUUAUCGUUUUUUUUUAUGAUUGUCUUGUAACAAGACGUGUUUAUUGAUAAACAAAAAAAAAACAUGAAAUAAUGUGUAUAAGCGAUA